GACGAACGCUGGCGGUGUGCUUCACACAUGCAAGUCGAACGAGGUAGCAAUACCUAGUGGCGGACGGGUGAGUAACGCGUGGGAAUCUGCCUUUAGAUGGGGGGAUAACGGGUCGAAAGACUCGCUAAUACCGCAUAUGACGAAAGUUGAAAGGAGUAAUCCGUCUAAAGAUGAGCCCGCGUCCGAUUAGCUAGUUGGUAGAGUAAAAGCCUACCAAGGCGACGAUCGGUAGCUGGUCUGAGAGGAUGAUCAGCCACAAUGGGACGUAGAGACACGGCCCAUACUCCUACGGAGGCAGCAGUGGGAAUUUUACGCAAUGGCGAAAGCCUGACGUAGCGACACCGCGUGAGCGAAGAAGCCCCUUGGGGUGUAAAGCUCUGUCAGCUGGACGAAAAAAAUGACGGUACCAGCAGAGGAAGCAUCGGCUAACUACGUGCCAGCAGCCGCGG
rnacentral:rRNA from 1 species